rnacentral:sRNA from 1 species
CUUCAGUGUCCCCUCACCUGGACCUUUAAACACACCUGUGAACCCCAGCUCUGUCAUGAGCCCAGCUGGCUCCAGCCAGGCUGAGGAACAGCAGUACCUGGACAAGCUGAAGCAACUGUCCAAGUACAUCGAGCCCCUACGCCGCAUGAUCAACAAGAUCGACAAGAACGAAGGUAGGCUGCAGCCAGGGCACGAGCCUGCACCCUGGGGACACCGCCGGGCUUGUGUCUUAGUGUACCCUCUUCUGUCCCAGACAGAAAAAAGGACCUGAGUAAGAUGAAGAGCCUUCUGGACAUUCUGACAGACCCCUCGAAGCGGUGAGCUUUGCCCACAGCCCACGGAGGGUCCACAAGGGCACGGAUAGCCCAGCCAUGGAUAGGCACUUGGUGAUGAUGUGGGUUUAACAAAGGCACCAGGCAGCUCUUUGGGCCCUGGCCAGAGGCCUCCAAGGCUCCACUCUGGUGUGUGCUGGGGCUUCAAGCCCAGGCUUCAUCUUGGCCCGUGCCCAGCCUUUGCCCUACUCCUGGCUGCUGCUGUGGCCCUCAUGCUGGGCCAUCACAGCCAGACCUCAUCCAGCCAGCAGCCAGGGUCCCAGCUUGCAGUGGCCUGAUCAUCAGCUGGCCCUGAUGGGCCUGAGCCUGACCUGGAGUUCUGCCCCUGACUUGCCGGUGAC